ensembl:lncRNA
CGGUUCAGAAAUGGACUAGCAUAUAGUGUGGAUGAUAAUUAUAGCGUUGGUCUAAUACUUUAGUAGCAAAAGGACAGAUCGAUCCAUCCAUCCAUCCAUCUUCUAUACCGCUUACUCCUUUUCAGAGUCACGGGGAACCUGGAGCCGGUCCCAGGGAGCAUCAGGCACAAGGCGGGGUACACCCUGGGCAGGGUGCCAAUCCAUUGCAGGGCACAAUCACAUCAUACACAUUCACACACUACGGACACUUUGGACACGUCAAUCAGCCUACCAUGCAUGUCUUUGGACUGGGGGAGGAAACCGGAGUACCCGUUGGAAAUCCCCCUGGAGUACGGGGAGAACAUGCAAACUCUGCACACACAGGGCCAGGGUGGGAAUCAAACCCCCGACCCUGGAGGCGUGAAGCGGACGUGCUCAAAAGGACAGAUGUGAACUUUAAAUUUCCCCCUACAACCCCUGUUACAGAAAAUUAAUCAACACCUUCUCAAAUAAGAGAAUUCAACAACACUGUGGUACAAAUAGUUUUGUUUCCUUUUUGCUUUCUGUUCAUUUCAUGCGCACAAUAAAGUAUAAAGAAACCAUCCAAAUAUGAAUGUGUUAUUUGGAAUGAAAAGAUAAUGUGAUCACAUAUUUUUUUCUUUUUAAAGAAAGCUUGCCAGAUAGGUUCACAGGGCAUCUGGUUGAGGCUGGAGGAGCGCAUCGUGACUGGGAUCCAACAGGAUACAAGAAAAAGUUGGGAGUGGGAGGUUUUAACUUUCAUGUGGGUGAGUAGUCAGACAUAAAGCUCAGGGGGAAAAAAAGAAAGACAUUUCAGAUGUUAGAUUUUCAUAUUAAUUUAUUAAACUGAACUUAAACUAUACAUUUACAGCAUUCAUUGUUUUCAUUUAUAUCAAUACUGCUGGAAAAAGUGAACCAACUAAAUUAAUUAAUUAGAGAAUACUUCUGAGAAAAUAUUUUUUUUGAUUUGGUUACAUGCACACCCCACUUCCGGUUUUAAUACUGCUGUAUUUGAAUAUAGCUCUGACUACUAGCUAGGUCAGAAACUCAGGAUGGUCUCCUUGUACAUACACAAGUAUAUGCUUUGCAUUAAUCGACAUACAGACAUACAGUAUUAGCUUGUUAAAGACAGUUUACUGUUUUGAGGAGGAAACUGUACUAUACACCACUCAACACAGUUAGCUGGCUAGCUUGCUAGCUUGUUGCUAACCAAAGAAGAAGACUGUAGCCUAAAUGUAACAUUGGCCCAAAUACAGAUAGAGAUAUGAAUAUUUGGAGCACUAAACAGAUACAGACCCAGAUUGGGACAUUGUGUUACCCCUAGUCUUUAUAUUAAUACACUUAAGACGACAAAAAAUUCAUGGCACUAAAGUUUUCGAGGUCUGUGUGUAAAUACACACCUUCUACACUGAACAAACGAAUUCCUCAUAGCAGUUUUGAGCAACAAUUUCCCCCCAGCAUGCCUGGGAAAUGAGUACCGAGCCUGAUCUAAUGACAGAUAGGUGCUUGCUUAUGAAAAGCCCUUGAAGGACAGACUUCUGCUUCCCUUCCUCUCUACCUUCCCCCCCACUCUCAGCUCUGCCCUGCAAAUUACAGUCUAUUCCUCGCAGAAGAUUUCCAGGUGUUUCACCUGUGUAACAAUCUGUUACAUCUGUAAUAAACCGGAAUCUACAGAGGCUAAUUGUAGCAUUCCUUUUAUGCUGAGGUGGAUGACAGAGCAGGCAGUAAGGACACAGUACAAAAGAUAACAACAGGGAGAGCUCACAGAGUCUGAGUGCCGCCAGGCUCACGCCACUGCCUGUGUGUGUGAGAAUCAUCAGCUAUCGCCCGGUGCCUGGCCAUUAGCCAGUGCUCGACCUAAGGCUGUAGACAGACAGGUCCAUGAACAAGGGCAUUAUUUUCAGCAGAGAGCCAUCGGGGAGGCACUGAGGCACUGUGCCACAGGAUGACAGACAUGAGGAAAAAAAACUAGCCGUGUUUGUAGGUCCGACAUAAAGCAUUCCACUCUACCUAAUAUCAUGUUACAGUGGGGAGGAAAAAAAAGAACCAAAAAAAAAAAAAGAACCAUUGCAGGGUAAAUUGUGAUCAACGCACAAAGCCGUAUCUUAUUCUGGUAGCAGGAUUCCAGUUGUCCAAAACUGCAUUAUUUAGCAUGAAGUAAGCGUGAUAAAAAAAUUCUUACUAUUCAAAUGGGAUAAGAUUUACAGAUACGUCUGUUAAAUAAUGUUGUCGGAGGAUGUCUGCAGUAACCAUUUCGCAUGGGUUCAGCAGUCACACACACACACAAAAAAAAUCAUGCAUACUAUGUGCACAACCUGAUUAUGUGACCUUUAUUAUAAUAAGUGCUUGUUGAUCAUUGAUCACAUGGUCAUAUAAUGUAUGUUGGCAUAACUGUACUGAGCCUAUUUAAUCUUUUUUUUUUUAGGUCCAAAUUUUGCAUAUUUUCUCUUUCGGACAAACACCGAAGGUUUAGAAGAGCACUUUCGGAAUUUCUCCAGUAGCAUCCGUACUAAAUUGAUGCUAAAUAUAUAGUUGUUGAGCAAGUUAAACACACAACGACAGGUUUUAUUUCACAUUAACAAACUCAAACCUUUCUCCAUUUUAUUCUGACAGAAAGCAAGGGCACAAUAAGCUUGAAAAAUGAUUCGAGCAGGCUUAGACAGUCUUUCAUUACCUUCACUAAUACUCAGGUAGACAACACAAAAAUCUUCCUAUGGGUUUUGUGUAGAAGGUUUACAUAAGGGAUGAAGUUAUUUCCUCUCCUUCUCCAAGUCAAGCUAAACAAGGACUGGUUUGUUUUUUUGAACAUGGAGGAACAUGAAUAAAAACCAUAAAUUAAGAAGAAGAAAGGAAACUAAAGAAAAGACAGGCCUGGUCUGGAUCUUAAUCUUCCUCAAACUGCCACAUGCCACUCUGACAUCAUCUAUCUUUGUGGUAUUUCACAGAGGAAACCAUGCUCCAAAUUUCAACCACAGCUCAAAGAGAUUAAUGAAAGAGAAGCACAGUGGAAGAACCCUCAAAAUUUACCUAAGCAAAAUAAAUAAAUAAAUAAAAGUUUGAUUAGGCAAAAAAGUUUAAAGUUAGUUUCACCUGACCAUGAUAACAGGUGUUUCAGAUCUAUACAUCUGAAUACAUUUCCCAGUUGAUGAGGCUGUCCAUAAUGUAUGGUCCAUAAAAAAUUUA